CAGUAUCUCAGAAAAUAACUGUGUUUGGACAUAACAUCUAAACAUCUUUAGCAUGCAUGUGUGUAUCUAUAUGUAAUUAAAAUUAGGUCAUUAGGGUGGGCUUUAAUCCAAUAUGACUGGUGUCCUUACAAAAAUAGAAAUUUGAACACAGCCACAUACAGGAGGAAUAUGAUGUGAAGACAAAGGGAGAAGACAGCCAUCUAUAAGCUAAGGACAUGGACCUGGAACACAUCCUUCCCUCCCAGCCCUCAGACAGAACCAACUCUGUAGAUCAACCAACACCUUGACUUUCAGCCUCCAGAACUGCGAUAAGGAAAAAGAUUGACAAAAGAAACUAUAAGCAAGCAUGCUGUUUUGAGUCGCCGGAGGAUAGAGACGGCCCAAGAAGAAUUUCAAGAGAACUGCUAAUGAGAAACCUUCCGUGGUGAGACUUGAACUGACAAGCUAUUCCCCCAGGCUCCUCGGGAACAUCUCAUAACUAAUCGGGACAUUCCAUCAAGACCACAUGCACAGGGCCACAGCCUAGACAGCAGAGCAUCCAAACCGCCAAAGAAAAUGUUGAGGCUGCACCAAUAAGGGACUUUGUGCAAUGCCUCUUUUAUUGAAAAAAUCUAUUUAAAUGAAAUCUUUCUAGGACAUUAUGUCAAAACUGCAACUGGAAACGUCUGCUUUUCUCACCUGGAAGAAUUGCCCCUAUUAAACCAUAGUAACUAUAAACAGUAAUUAUGUAUAGCUGUGCAUAAGCAUGCAAGUGUGUAUCUAUAG
rnacentral:lncRNA from 1 species